UGCCAGCCGCCGCGGUAAUACAGAGGGUGCAAACGUUGCUCGGAAUUACUGGGCGUAAAGCGCGUGUAGGCGGAUUCGCAAGUCGGGUGUGAAAUCCCUGGGCUCAACCUAGGAACUGCAUCCGAAACUGCGAGUCUUGAGGAUUGGAGUGGGAAGCGGAAUUCCUGGUGUAGAGGUGAAAUUCGUAGAUAUCUGGAGGAACACCGGUGGCGAAGGCGGCCCACUGGGAUUGUUCUGACGCUGAGGCGCGAAAGCGUGGGGAGCGAACGGGAUUAGAUA
rnacentral:rRNA from 1 species